UACGUAGGGAGCAAGCGUUGUCCGGAAUCAUUGGGCGUAAAGCGCGCGUAGGUGGCCCCAUAAGUCCGCUGUGAAAGUCGAGGGCUCAACCCUCGAAUGCCGGUGGAUACUGUCGGGCUUGAGUACGGGAGAGGCGAGUGGAAUUCCUGGUGUAGCGGUGAAAUGCGCAGAUAUCAGGAGGAACACCGAUUGCGAAGGCAGCUCGCUGGAACGUUACUGACGCUGAGACGCGAAAGCGUGGGGAGCAAACAGG
rnacentral:rRNA from 1 species